rnacentral:rRNA from 1 species
GACGAACGCUGGCGGCGUGCUUAACACAUGCAAGUCGAACGAAGUGGCGAACGGGUGAGUAACGCGUAAUCAACCUGCCCUUCAGAGGGGGAUAACAGUUGGAAACGACUGCUAAUAACGCAUACUGUAGGAGGGGAUUGCGGCUGAUUGGCUAGUUGGAGGGAGAACGGCCCACCAAGGCUAUGAUCAGUAGCCGGUCUGAGAGGAUGAACGGCCACAUUGGGACUGUGACACGGCCCAGACUCCGACGGGAGGCAGCAGGUGGGAAUCUUCCGCAAUGGACGAAAGUCUGACGGAGCAACGCCGCGUGAGUGAGGACGGCCUUCGGGUUGUAAAGCUCUGUUAAUCGGGACGCGGUACCGGAAUAGAAAGCCACGGCUAACUACGUGCCAGCAGCCGCGGUAAUAC